UACGUAGGGGGCUAGCGUUAUCCGGAUUUACUGGGCGUAAAGGGUGCGUAGGUGGUUUUUUAAGUCAGGAGUGAAAGGCUACGGCUCAACCGUAGUAAGCUCUUGAAACUGGAAAACUUGAGUGCUGGAGAGGAAAGUGGAAUUCCUAGUGUAGCGGUGAAAUGCGUAGAUAUUAGGAGGAACACCAGUAGCGAAGGCGGCUUUCUGGACUGUAACUGACACUGAGGCACGAAAGCGUGGGGAUCAAACAGG
rnacentral:rRNA from 1 species